rnacentral:tRNA from 1 species
GCCAAUGAUAGCUCAGUGGGUAGAGCAUGAGACUCUUAAUCUUAGGGUUGUGGGUUUGAGCCCCACGUUUUGCA